UAGGCAUAAUUAACAUCCGGCCGAAGGACGACCAAGGCCGUGACCACACCCUGGCGGAGGGGAGAUACACCGACCUGGCGACCGUGAUAAACCGACGGUAGCCAUUGGACCUGCACCGAUCCGCGACCUGUCCGUGGCCAUCGAGAGGAUGCAGCCGACGCCGAGGACGCAGCCCGAAGGCCGAGCGACCGAGGAGACGACACCGACGGCCGCGCCAAGGAAGGCGACGCCGACGCCGAUAGCCGAAGGAGCGGACACCACCGAGAUAGCAUCGGAGACGCAGUCAACCAAUGUGACAGCGCGCGAGUGCGAUAGUGACAAUGACAUUCCGCCCGCGUCACAGUUUGUCACACUGUGAAGUGACAUUAAAAGUAUAUAUUAUAGUAUUUGUGUUAAUCAAAGAUAUUGUUUAGUUUAUUUUAUAUGUAUUAGUUAUAAGCAUUAUUGUAACAUUUACGCAACCGCCGCGACCGCAACGAGUAGCGCGAUGUAACCGCGAAGAGUGUCGUGAGAAUGGGAAUGCGUGUGUGAAAGAGCGCGUGUAAAUAAGCCGCGUGUAAAAAUAUAUAUAUACGUACACGUUAGUACGGUCAUUGUGAUAAUAAAAAAAUAUUUUUUUUUUUUUUUUUUUUGUUAAUACGCACGAAGUCGCAAUGCGAAUGCGCCACGAAUUAGGUUCUCUAGAAUAAAGAUUUUGUAAUAUAUUAAAUAAUAGCAUGUUAAACUGUAAUAGUUUAUUUCCUUGUAAAACACGUCGUAUUUAUAUUAUUAUUUAGUUCAGAUCGACAAGCGAACGAGCCGACCACGAACCGCGAACGGGCACGAGGCACCGGAGCGAUAGGCAACCCGCCGAGCGCGAGUUUUGACAGGUGCAGGUUAGGAUGCCCAUGGACGCGAGACACAUACUUUAAUAUGUACGCGAGACGCGUACAUCAGUCGAUUUCCAUCGAGAUUCCACGCUUGCUGGCAUUGUAUUUGCAUAUCCGGUGGAUGAAUAUAGCAUACCACAUAAUUAUAAUUAUUUCUAUUGAUUACCAGCCAGUUGGAAUCGCGACAAUAACCUGGGAGGUAUACGACGCGUUAAUCGAGCAUAAUCUUUAAUUUCUUAUUGAUUUGUAUUGAUUUCCAUUGAUUUUCAUUAAUUAUUACAUUUAGAAGCGUUUCAAAGCGUGCGAGUUAUGCGCGAGCACAGGUCUGUGAAUUCAGAUUAAUGUUUAUUUCAUAUUACGUAUACAACGAUUAAAUUCGUGUUUAUUCUUUUAAUUACAGUUAGUUAGAGCCAAUUAACUCUUAAUUUGCAAGAUGCGCGUAAAUAAUUAAGCGCAUAUUAAGAUUACUAAAGCUUAAGCCCCAUUUGCGAGGCAGACCAGAACAGACCAGGGGCUCGAUUCUUGAAUUUAUUCGCAAGAGAAACGUAUUCGCAAAUUCUGUUCUUACAGAAAAGUUAGAAAUUUAUUGGCUAUCGUAUGGCUAUUAACCAAUAAACUUACAACUUUCUGUUAGAGCGAGUAUUUGCGUAUACGUUUUUCUUGCGAAUGACUUCAAGAACCGGGCCUCUGAGCUCGAAUAUAGAUUUACGAACGCCGCUUGCCAUGAGAAUUCGAGAUCCCCAUCGCAUCGCGCAUGCGAGCUAUGGUGUGCAAGCGAGAAGGGAGACUGUGCGAGUGAGAUAACCACUCGAGGUUCCCCGAUUAGUGGAGACAACCGCGAUAGCAACAACGGCUCAAUCGGAGAAUCUCGAGAGGGGGAAUGUGUGGGAAACGGCACGCUGGAAGCGUUACUAAAAAAGUCUGCAUCGAGAUCUCAAGGGAGACGGACGUGUGUGCGAGGGUCUGUCUUCCCGCGCGAUUUCGCGAUCGAUUAACGAUCAAUUAGAAGUGCGUAGGCAGUAACGGGCGCGACACGACGUGUACGCGAUACUACCCGCGAGCCUCGCCGGCAGGCUAUUUCCGCGUGAUAAUAUUCGCGAACGCGUUAAAUAUCACGAAGGUCGAGACACGUUGUGCGAGAGGCGUGUCGAGACAAAGAAACCGCGACACAUGCGUAGGCGAUAUUAAAGCCAUUGCGUAAAUGUGCGUGUGAGUGAUUAUAAUAAAUAAAACGAGUUGUGUGAUACAUGUGA